ACUUACCUUUCUUAUAAACUGGUUUUAACUUCCACAUGAAACUCCUAUGCAAAUGAAGCCACUGAGCUGUUUCUCCUUUAAAUAAUCACAAACACACAAAAGGGCAUCACAGAACCAAAGCUGUCAUUUCUCUAAAGGCAAUGAUAUUUCCUUACUCCCCAAUGGAUCUUGCCAUUCUCCUUCUUUGCUUAGUAGCCGCUCCUGUGUACGUCCACUCCAGCGUCCAACUUGUGGAAUCUGGGCCAGGAACAGUGAGCCCUGGAGGAUCCAUCAAAUUGACUUGCAAAGUGACAGGGGACUCCAUCACAAAUGCAUACUGGGAGUGGAUCCGCCAGGCUCCAGGAAAAGGAUUGGAAUGGGUGGGCCAGAUAGACUGGUCUAGUAAUAACUGGAGGACAUACUAUGCCUCAUCCCUCCAAAGCCGAACAACCUUGACAGCCGAUUCCUCCCGCAAUGAAUAUUAUUUGGCCAUGAGGUCCCUGGCAGCUGCAGACACAGCCACAUAUUACUGUGCACGAAGAUCACAGUGAGAGAAAGCAAAGGAGGAAGUGUGAAAAACCUCUGGGCCUUUGUUUGAUGAAACUUUAUGCAUUGACAUGAAUGGAUUGAGAUAACUUAAUUCUUCCUCCAGGCUGCUCUUCUCUGCAGAGAGGAACAAGCUACUCUUCCAAGUCAACAAG